AGGACGAACGCUGGCGGCGUGCUUAACACAUGCAAGUCGAACGGAAAGGCCCUUCGGGGUACUCGAGUGGCGAACGGGUGAGUAACACGUGGGUGAUCUGCCCCGCACUUUGGGAUAAGCCUGGGAAACUGGGUCUAAUACCGAAUAGGACCAUGGGAUGCAUGUCCUGUGGUGGAAAGCUUUUGCGGUGUGGGAUGGGCCCGCGGCCUAUCAGCUUGUUGGUGGGGUUAAGGCCUACCAAGGCGACGACGGGUAGCCGGCCUGAGAGGGUGUCCGGCCACACUGGGACUGAGAUACGGCCCAGACUCCUACGGGAGGCAGCAGUGGGGAAUAUUGCACAAUGGGCGCAAGCCUGAUGCAGCGACGCCGCGUGGGGGAUGACGGCCUUCGGGUUGUAAACCGUCUUUCAGUAGGGACGAAGCGCAAGUGACGGUACCUACAGAAGAAGCACCGGCCAACUACGUGCCAGCAGCCGC
rnacentral:rRNA from 1 species